CGCUCGGCCGGCCGCUGCCCGGGCAGCGCGGGAGCGCGGGGGCGCUGCGAGCCGGUUUCCAUGUGACUGCCCGGCACAAACACGGCGCUCUCCCCCGCGGGCACUGCCGGGGCGGCCGCCCACGCCGCCCACGCCACGGCGUGGGAGUGGAGGGGAUGGGGUAACAGGUGGCGGAGAGGAUCGGCAAAGCGACAAAUCCCCACCAGCGCUUGCUCCCGGGAUCCUCCUUUGUCUCUUUUCCCACGAACUUGGCAAACCCGGAGCUUGUCGGGCGACUGUGCCCGACACUGAGCCCCGCGAGGAGCAGAGGCUUUUCCUCAGCCUCACACCCUGGCUCUGCCGCUUACGGCCUGUUCUCGGCACCUCUGUUACAGACAUUUUUUUUUUUCUCUCGGAGGCGGCAUAAACAACUUUUAAAAUUAGCAGCGGCUGUGGUCAGGAAGAAGGGCUGGACGGCUGUGGCUGUCCCUGGGUUUUCCUCCUGCGGAGCGAGCCCAGCAUGGGGAAGGCAGCCCCACUCCCCGGGCGGUGCGGGGUGCACAGCGGCAAGUCUUCGUGGGAACGUGGGCGUCGCGUUAAAAUCUGUAUUUUUUGUUUCAGGAAUAUCCCCCCCUCACGCCUUUCCCCCAGAAUAACAACUGCUACACCUGUGUGCGAAAACAAAACCAGGCUGGAGGCAGGGAGUCUGACAGGCACUACUGUCGUGUGUGUACUCAGCCCGGCACGCCUGGCGUUGGGCAGCCUGGCUUCUCCAGGCCAAGCUUUUGUAGAGUCGGGCAGGAUUGAGAAGACGACUGCAGAAGGGAUGCUCCAUGCAUGGUCUAGUGGCACAACAAAACAGAAAACUCCUCUUUGUAAGCUGUGGAUGUGGCACAUUCCCAGUGUUUCCUGUGCAGCACACUGCAUACACAACAUCACGUUCACCACUGCAAACAGCCUGCACCCCACCCAUGCAUCACACUCAGCUCUCCAGCCAGCAGCAUGGUUGGAGCUGGGAGUGAUGGCAGUGAGGAGCACCUGCUGCCUUUGAAACCCUGACUGCCAGGUGGGGCUUCAACUACUAACUCCUGGAGUCAUUCUUGGAAAGAUUUGGGUUACCUAGGUAUGGCUAAAGAAGAAGAAGGGCUGUUUUCCAAAGAUGUCUGGUGAUACAAAAACAGGAGAUCUUGGACUGAGAUGAAGAACAGAGUUGUUUCACCACAGUGUCACUGAACUGAUGUGGUCAUGCAGUGACAGGACACGGUAGAGCUUCUCUUUUUAUGAAAGAUUGCAGUCACCUUCCUCACUCUGUUCCUGUGAGCAAUACGCAGAAUUAGAAACCGGAAAAACUGUCCUUGAAUUACCAAGGAAGGGAUUGGAGAGUCAAAGAGGGGUGGAGGAAGUAUGGAUUAUCUGGACAAGAUCACUGUAACGAUCUGAAGCUGACUGAUAUUGAGAGGUUUUCUACUAAUUCCACCUGCAUUUACCAAACCUUUGAUAUCACUUGCAAACACAGGCAGUAAUGACUAUCUGUUCUACAGAACUUCUCUCAUUUGUUCCCCUCUUUCUUUUGAAUGUGAAGUUAAUCAUGUAAUUCCACCUCUCAUGAGUUGUACUGGUGCUAUGUGAAUCUUCUCAAGAAUCUGCUGUUUACUGUCCCCUAAAAGACAACAUGAAGAUAAAAAGUCUGCCACAUUCUUUAAACACCCUUUAAAUACCCUGUACCUGACAUGGUGUGGUUGAUGAACCUUUGGAACUUUUUUAUUUCUCUGUCUUCUCUGGCUUUCCCAGCUCUUGUUACACUGCAAUAUAAUUCUAAGGGUGUGGCAUAAAUUAUUACAUAAUUAAAUUAAAUGACAUUCCAUUUUUUUUCAGAUGAGUCAUCUGCAGGUAUCCAGAAAAUGUACAGCAUGAGAGUUACCUCAUGUUCAAGGCAUUAAGAAUACAAAACUAGCUCAUUAGAUGUUCUUAGGAAAAAUAAAUAAAGAGAACCUCUAACUUAAAAAUAGAGA
ensembl:lncRNA